GAUGAACGCUGGCGGCGUGCCUAAUACAUGCAAGUCGAGCGAACGGACGAGAAGCUUGCUUCUCUGAUGUUAGCGGCGGACGGGUGAGUAACACGUGUAUAACCUACCUAUAAGACUGGGAUAACUUCGGGAAACCGGAGCUAAUACCGGAUAAUAUUUUGAACCGCAUGGCUCAAAAGUGAAAGACGGUCUUGCUGUCACUUAUAGAUGGAUACGGGCUGCAUUAGCUAGUUGGUAAGGUAACGGCUUACCAAGGCAACGAUGCAUAGCCGACCUGAGAGGGUGAUCGGACACACUGGAACUGAGACACGGUCCAGACUCCUACGGGAGGCAGCAGUAGGGAAUCUUCCGCGAUGGGCGAAAGCCUGACGGAGCAACGCCGCGUGAGUGAUGAAGGUCUUCGGAUCGUAAAACUCUGUUAGUAGGGAAGAACAUAUGUGUAAGUAACCGUGCACAUCUUGACGGUACCUAAUCAGAAAGCCACGGCUAACUACGUG
rnacentral:rRNA from 1 species